CCUACGGUUGACAGCAGUGGGGAAUAUUGCACAAUGGGGGAAACCCUGAUGCAGCGACGCCGCGUGGGCGAGGAAGUACCUCGGUAUGUAAAGCCCUAUCAGCAGGGAAGAAACAGGACAGUACCUGACUAAGAAGCCCCGGCUAACUACGUGCCAGCAGCCGCGGUAAUACGGAGGGGGCAAGCGUUGUCCGGAUUCACUGGGCGUAAAGGGAGCGCAGGCGGCAUGGCAAGUCUGAUGUGAAAACCCGGGGCCCAACCCCGGGAGUGCAUUGGAAACUGCCAGGCUGGAGUGUCGGAGGGGUAAGCGGAAUUCCUAGUGUAGCGGUGAAAUGCGUAGAUAUUAGGAGGAACACCAGUGGCGAAGGCGACCUGCUAGAACAUAACUGACGCUGAUGCGCGAAAGCGUGGGGAGCAAACAGGAUUAGAUACCCCUGUAGUC
rnacentral:rRNA from 1 species